GCAAGUCGAGGGGUAACAGGGAGAAGCUUGCUUUUCCGCUGACGACCGGCGCACGGGUGCGUAACGCGUAUAGAACCUACCUUUUACAGAGGGAUAGCCUUUAGAAAUGAAGAUUAAUACCUCAUAGUACUGAUGAUUGGCAUCAAUUAACAGUUAAAGUUUCGGCGGUAAAAGAUGGCUAUGCGUUCUAUUAGUUAGUUGGUAAGGUAACGGCUUACCAAGACAUCGAUAGAUAGGGGUCCUGAGAGGGAGAUC
rnacentral:rRNA from 1 species